ACGAACGCUGGCGGCAGGCCUAACACAUGCAAGUCGAGCGCACUCUUCGGAGUGAGCGGCGGACGGGUUAGUAACGCGUGGGAACGUGCCCAGAUCUAAGGAAUAGCCACUGGAAACGGUGAGUAAUACCUUAUACGCCCUUCGGGGGAAAGAUUUAUCGGAUUUGGAUCGGCCCGCGUUAGAUUAGAUAGUUGGUGGGGUAACGGCCUACCAAGUCUACGAUCUAUAGCUGGUUUUAGAGGAUGAUCAGCAACACUGGGACUGAGACACGGUCCAGGACUCCUACGGGAGGCAGCAGUGGGGAAUCUUGGACAAUGGGGGCAACCCUGAUCCAGCCAUGCCGCGUGAGUGAUGAAGGCCCUAGGGUCGUAAAGCUCUUUCGCCAGAGAUGAUAAUGACAGUAUCUGGUAAAGAAACCCCGGCUAACUCCGUGCCAGCAGCCGCGGUAAUACGGAGGGGGUUAGCGUUGUUCGGAAUUACUGGGCGUAAAGCGCGCGUAGGCGGAUCGGAAAGUUGGGGGUGAAAUCCCGGGGCUCAACCCNGNACUGCCUCCAAACUAUCGGUCUAGAGUUCGAGAGAGGUGAGUGGAAUUC
rnacentral:rRNA from 1 species